rnacentral:rRNA from 1 species
UACGUAGGCAGCGAGCGUUGUUCGGAAUUACUGGGCGUAAAGAGUGUGUAAGCGGUGCUCUAAGUUCGGUGUGAAAUCUCCUGCUUAACUGGGAGGGUGCGCCGGAAACUGGAGUGCUUGAGCGUGGGAGAGGAAAGCGGAAUUCCUGGUGUAGCGGUGAAAUGCGUAGAUAUCAGGAGGAACACCUGUGGUGUAGACGGCUUUCUGGACCAUAGCUGACGCUGAGACACGAAAGCGUGGGUAGCAAACAGG